rnacentral:rRNA from 1 species
UUACCGCUAUCGAGGUUCGACUAAGCCAUGCGAGUCGAAUGUAGCAAUACAUGGCGUACUGCUCAGUAACACGUGGACAACCUACCCUUGGGUCGGGGAUAAACCCGGGAAACUGGGUAUAAUACCCGAUAGCCCUCGGCUGCUGGAAUGCAUCGAGUGCAAAAACUCCGGUGCCCAAGGAUGGGUCUGCGGCCUAUCAGGUAGUAGUGGGUGUAGCGUACCUACUAGCCUACGACGGGUACGGGUUGUGGGAGCAAGAGCCCGGAGAUGGAUUCUGAGACACGAAUCCAGGCCCUACGGGGUGCAGCAGGCGCGAAAACUUUACAAUGCCGGCAACGGCGAUAAGGGGACCUCGAGUGCCAGGUUACAAAUCUGGCUGUCGUGAUGCCUAAAAAGCAUUGCAUAGCAAGGGCCGGGCAAGACCGGUGCCAGCCGCCGCGGUAACACCGGCGGCUCGAGUGGUAACCGUUAUUAUUGGGUCUAAAGGGUCUGUAGCCGGCCGGAUAAGUCUCUUGGGAAAUCUGGCAGCUUAACUGUCAGGCUUUCAGGAG